rnacentral:rRNA from 1 species
UACGAAGGGGGCUAGCGUUGUUCGGAAUUACUGGGCGUAAAGCGCGCGUAGGCGGACCAUCAAGUCGGAGGUGAAAUCCUGAAGCUUAACUUCAGAACUGCCUUCGAUACUGUUGGUCUUGAGGUCGGGAGAGGUGAGUGGAACUGCGAGUGUAGAGGUGAAAUUCGUAGAUAUUCGGAAGAACACCAGUGGCGAAGGCGGCUCACUGGACCGGCAUUGACGCUGAGGUGCGAAAGCGUGGGGAGCAAACAGG